ACUUUCAACAACGGAUCUCUUGGUUCUGGCAUCGAUGAAGAACGCAGCGAAAUGCGAUAAGUAAUGUGAAUUGCAGAAUUCAGUGAAUCAUCGAAUCUUUGAACGCACAUUGCGCCCGUCAGUAUUCUGGCGGGCAUGCCUGUUCGAGCGUCAUUAC
rnacentral:rRNA from 2 species